UUUUGAGCUGGUUGAGGCUCGUUGGUGUCUCUGAGAUGCUGUGGGUAGUGUAGGGCUUGUCUGCUAGCUCUGUGUGCCAGCUGUGCUGUGGAGCAGGGGCCUGCCUGCUGAGCAGCACAGCUGCUUCAUGAACCUUCUUGGUGCCUCAGGGCAGAGAGCUGUGCCCUGAGAGCUGGGAGAGCUCUGCUGAGUGUGUGGCGCAGGGGCAGCUUCUGGCUGGGUGGCACAGCUUGUGCCCCUCGUCUUUCCCACCCUUGGCUUGGCCAGUGCCUCAUCCAGUGUGCUUAGAGAGAAAAGCUGCCUGUGGCUGUGCUGCUGUCUGCAGAAGUGCCCCUGGCAAGGAGCUGGGCUGCCUCAUCCCUGAAGAGAACACGUGGCAGAGUGCUCGGGAGGCUCAGCCCAAAAGAGGCCACGUGUUCUGCUGCAAGAACCUGUCCAGCUGUGCCAAGGCCACUGCCUGAGCUCUGAUGGCUCAGAGCACUGCUGUCCCACGGAGCUCUGCAUGAAGCUGUGUGAGCCAUUAGAAUCCAGGUGGCUGCAGCAGCCACGUGCUUGACCAGACGUGGAUUUGGAGUCCAACUAAUCUUUGCCUCUCUCUGUCUCCCUGUGCUCUGAAGAAGAGGACUGUGAAUUCCAAGAGCCAUCUCACUGCUGAACCUUUUCUGUAGAAGGCUGAUACUGGAUGUGAGCUACUUGUUAAGAUAUGCCACUGUCCCAAGUGCUGUAAGGCUGUGAAAGCCCUUCUUUGAAGGCCAUUUUGAUGUUCAUUUUGCAAAGGUGACUGUAGAGCUCUCUGG